rnacentral:misc_RNA from 1 species
GAUGAAGAACGUAGCUAAAUGCGAUAAGUAAUGUGAAUUGCAGAAUUCAGUGAAUCAUCGAAUCUUUGAACGCACAUUGCGCCCAUCAGUAUUCUGUUGGGCAUGCCUGUCCGAGCGUCAUUUCAACCCUCAGGGCCCGUUCGCGGGAACUGGUGUUGGGGAUCGGCCUCCCCCCGGAGGCCGGCCCCGAAAUGCAGUGGCGGCUCUACCGCGAUCUCCUCUGUGUAGUAGCGAUACCUCGCAGCUGGAUAGUGGUGGUGCCACGCCGUAAAAUCCCAACUUUACCAAGGUUGACCUCGGAUCAGGUAGGAAUACCCGCUGAACUUAAGCAUAUCAAUAAGCGGAGGA